CCUACGGGAGGCAGCAGUGGGGAAUAUUGCACAAUGGGGGAAACUCUGAUGCCGCGACGCCGCGUGCGUGAGGAAGUAUUUCGGUAUGUAAAGCUCUAUCAGCAGGGAAGAAAAUCACGGUACCUGACUAAGAAGCCCCGGCUAACUACGUGACAGCAGCCGCGGUACUACGUAGGGGGCCAGCGUUAUCCGGAUGUACUGGGUGUAAAGGGAGCGUAGGCGGUUAAUCAAGUCAGAAGUGAAAUCCCAGGGCUCAACCUUGGGACUGCUUUUGAAACUGAGUAGCUAGAGAGCAGGAGCGGUAAGCGGAAUGCCUAGUGUAGCGGUGAAAUGCGUAGAUAUUAGGAGGAACACCAGUGGCGAAGGCGGCUUACUAAACUGUAACUGACGUUGAGGCUCGAAAGCGUGGGGAGCAAACAGGAUUAGAUACCCUUGUAGUC
rnacentral:rRNA from 1 species